UAUUCUGCCCAUGCGGGAAUCGACUAAGGUUCGAUUCGAGCGAAGCGAGAAAGCGUUGCCGCAGGCAACGACCCGAAGGGCGAAGCGCACUGCGCUGAGUAAUCCUUCCCCCACCACCA
rnacentral:sRNA from 5 species